AUUGAACGCUGGCGGCAGGCUUAACACAUGCAAGUCGAGCGGAGAUGAGGUGCUUGCACCUUAUCUUAGCGGCGGACGGGUGAGUAAUGCUUAGGAAUCUGCCUAUUAGUGGGGGACAACAUUCCGAAAGGAAUGCUAAUACCGCAUACGCCCUACGGGGGAAAGCAGGGGAUCUUCGGACCUUGCGCUAAUAGAUGAGCCUAAGUCGGAUUAGCUAGUUGGUGGGGUAAAGGCCUACCAAGGCGACGAUCUGUAGCGGGUCUGAGAGGAUGAUCCGCCACACUGGGACUGAGACACGGCCCAGACUCCUACGGGAGGCAGCAGUGGGGAAUAUUGGACAAUGGGGGAAACCCUGAUCCAGCGACGCCGCGUGGGUGAAGAAGGCCUGCGGGUUGUAAAGCCCUUUCGGUAGGGACGAAAGCUCUCGACCUAACACGUCGGGAGGUUGACUUAACCUACAAAAGAAGCACCGGCUAACUCUGUGCCAGCCGCCGCCGUAAUAC
rnacentral:rRNA from 1 species